AGAACGAACGCUGGCGGCAUGCCUAAUACAUGCAAGUCGAACGAACACUUCGGUGUUAGUGGCGCACGGGUGCGUAACGCGUGGGAAUCUGCCCUUGGGUUCGGAAUAACAGUUGGAAACGACUGCUAAUACCGGAUGAUGACGAAAGUCCAAAGAUUUAUCACCAAGGGAUGAGCCCGCGUAGGAUUAGCUAGUUGGUGAGGUAAAGGCUCACCAAGGCAACGAUCCUUAGCUGGUCUGAGAGGAUGAUCAGCCACACUGGGACUGAGACACGGCCCAGACCUCCGUACGGGAGCAGCAGUAGGGAAUAG
rnacentral:rRNA from 1 species